UAUGUGGCGUUAGCCGCGGCCACCACCACCACCACCACCGCCACCACCACCGCAGUAGCAGCCACCAAUGUGGCGGCCACCACCACCACCACCACCACCACCACCACCACAGCAGCCACUGGCACCUACCCUGUUCUGAGGGGUAUGUUAAAUCCCCCCAAGAACACUGAUAUGGACAGAAGACAAAUCAUGAAGGAAUUGGACAGUUUAAUUUUAAAAAUUGAGGAAAUAAAAAUAAAAAUUAUAAAAAAAA